AACUCUUAUCUGAUUAAGUAAUUUCGCCAUGUUGUGAUUGUGAAGUCCCAGCUGCACUUUGGGUACUUUUGAGUUUCUUGCUACUCUUCUGCUUAAGUAUCUCCUUGAUCUCUGCUUCCCUCUUAUCCACAACUUUUAUCAAUUCCUUGAAACUCGGUGCUCGUGAACCUCUCCCUGAUCGAGAUGGCUCAGACACUUCGCCUGCCCUUUCCUCGUCCGCACUUUCUGGUAGCAACCUCUGGUAUUGCCAGAAAACCCUCCAGAAGAAGACAGUGAGUGCCAUGAAGCAAGUGAUGCCACAGAUAAGGAAGAGUCCCCAGAAACUCUUUAGUGAAAGCUGAGAGUCCUCACUGUUUGAGAUCUGCAUCGA